UACGGAGGGGGCGAGUGUUGUUCGGAAUUACUGGGCGUAAAGGGCGCGCAGGCGGCCUGGCAAGUCGAGUGUGAAAUCCCUUGGCUUAACUGAGGAAUGGCGCUCGAAACUACCUCGCUGGAGGGCGGGAGAGGGAAGUGGAACUCUCGGUGUAGGGGUGAAAUCUGUAGAUAUCGAGAGGAACACCGGUGGCGAAGGCGGCUUCCUGGCCCGUACCUGACGCUGAGGCGCGAAAGCGUGGGGAGCGAACAGG
rnacentral:rRNA from 1 species